CCGCGACCCCAGGUCAGGCGGGACUACCCGCUGAGUUUAAGCAUAUCAAA
rnacentral:rRNA from 1 species